AUGCCAGCUUAUGAGAUUCUUCAUUUUGUUACAGAUGUAGAUUGCUAUCCAAAUGUUUUUGUUGCCUAUCGGGUCCUCUUAACGGUACAAGUGACAAUAGCCUCGGCUGAAGAAAGUGACUCUAAAAUGAAACUACUGAAAAAUUGGUUGACAUAAACUAUGUUACAAGAAAGAUUGAAUGGCUUGGAUAUGUGCUGUAUUGAGAAGGAUAUCGUGUACAACAAUGAUCUCGAAAUUCUCCUUAAUGACUUCAUGUAACGUCCGAAGAAGCUUUUCUUGUAA
rnacentral:rRNA from 1 species